GUGCAAACUCGAUCACUAAGUCUGGAAUGUAUUGUGGAAGUGAAGGGAACCAGGUUUGCUAAAGUAAUUGUGUUGAUAGAAAUAUAUUAGCUCCAUAGCUUCUGAGGGGGUCCAUUCUACGCUAGUACAGUG
rnacentral:snoRNA from 1 species